AUGCCAUCAAGUGUUAUAUAAAUAUAUAUUGAGAUUGAUGUUAUAUAUAUAUAUACAUAUACUUAUAAUUUUGAUUGGAUUUGAGCAUGGUUUAUGCAAUUUUGUUUGUUACUCUAUAUUGUUAUAAUUGCGUGCAAAGUGUUUGAUAAUUUGGUUCAUUCAAUAGUCAGUUAUUUUUAAGAGUGAUCAUAUAUAAUUUGGAGUGUUUGCAAAUUUGUGGGUUUGAGGACUGCAAUGAUGUUGCAAGCCACUUUAUUGAGUGGAUAUAUUCUGAAUUUUAUAAUAAGGUCCAAGACUCUAAUACAUAGAUUAGUAGCUAUUGUGAUUGAUAAGAAGUUCUCGUAGUUUUAAGUUUUUCUGUUAUAUUAUAAGAAGCUCUCCAAUUUAGUUUUGUUUAAUGUCAACUAGGCUAACAUAGACAAUGUUAUAAGCUUCAAAUUUUAUAUGUUCCAUGUUUUUUAGGUACCAUAAUCACAGAAAAUAUAUCAGCCUAACAUUUUGUUGAGUGCGAUUCAAAUUGAUUUCAUCAAAAUCAAAUGUCCUUUAUCCUGGUGAUGCAUGUGAUGCUUUAAAGGGGUGAUACUUAUAAGUUGUUUUGGCCUAAUCAACCAGAAGUUUUUAGAAUAGCAGCUCGUUUCGGGCAAACAAUUGUGUUGUUUGGACUAUGGAGCUGCUGGAGAAGAUGAUCUAGCAGAAUUGAUCAAUUGCGUACUAGAUUCUAUGUCGGCCACUUUAUACAAAGUAAAGGUUGCUCUUCUUGUUGAGCCUAAAACUCUAUAUUCAUAACUCAUCAAGAUUGGAGUUUAGCAAAGUGAAGUUUCUCCUUCAAGUUGGAACAUUUUGUGUGGCAGUUGGUGCUCUAGUUGCAGAAAGUUACAGCAAAGUGACUGAGAGCUUUACCAGAAGUUCGUGGGAAUACAUAGCAUAAAAUGUAUUACAAGACUUGCUUCUUCUUUUGAAGAAUGGAGGACUAAACUGGAGUCUAAAGUUGGAAAUUAUACAGCAAAUGUAGUCGUUAGAUUCAUGUUAUUUUUCAUCAGCUAGUGUUAGUUUUAUUUAAAUUUUUGAGUAAGAAUAAAAUAACUUACAUGUUUAAAUCAAACUAACCUAGUGUACAUGACAGAGUAUGAGAAUUUUUGCUUAGGAUGCCUUCAUUCAACCAUGAAUCUGUCACAAAAAAGAAUUAUUCGGACACACUAAGACUUACAUU